UGGGGACUCGCCUGAGCCCGCCUGCCGCCGCCUGCGUUCCCCUCCCACCUCGGGCCGCCCCGCGGAGCCGGGCGGAGCGCGGCGGGGCGGCCGGCGGCGGCUCCAGGGGGAAGGCAUCCCAAGAAAGCCAGGCAGGAUGCUGUCAUUGCCAUUCCUGGUUUUGCAUGGAGGACCAAAUCCUCAGCUGACAGAAACUGUCCUUGACGUGUUCCAGACAAUGGUUCUGUUCCAGUUAAUGCCAGGGGAUCAUCUGCUUCAAGGUUCUAUGUAAUCUCAUUGGGCAACAGCA
rnacentral:lncRNA from 1 species